AGGGAAUUGUAGUCCAUGUAGGUGCUGGCUCUUAGAGGGGAGGAGAAGAGCCGGGUCGUUCUCGUCAGCUGAGGAGAAUGAUUCAUAGAGGAGGGUCAGGAGAGAAAAACAGUUCUGUCUGCAAGCGCCCACUUAAAAGGCUGGACUCUUCUCCGAGGGAGGGAGAGGCAGGAGAGUAAGCCAGGCCUCGGGACUGACCCCGCCUCAGGCCGCUCGUCAGGCCUCUAUCGAGCCCUGGGCCUUGACGGGGGCGGCCGCGAGGCGCCGGUUGCUGGGGGACCGUGACGUCGCGGGGUGAAAGUUGAGGGGCGGUGACGUCGGCCCAGCCCGGGCGGAGGCUGGCGGGUUGGAGGCAGGAGGGAGGGAGGGAAGGAGGGAAGGAAGGAAGCUGGGAACGAGCGAGCGAGCGGGGGCGCGAGGCGUUUACCUGGAGGCAGCGGCUUGGGCGCGCAGAGCGGCCGCGGCUCCCCCGCACCUGCGGCCAUGGAUGAGGAGCGCGCCCUCUACAUCGUCCGGGCCGGCGAGGCGGGGGCUAUCGAGCGGGUCCUGAGGGAUUACAGCGAUAAGCAUAGGGCUACUUUCAAAUUUGAAUCAACAGAUGAAGAUAAAAGAAAGAAACUCUGUGAAGGCAUAUUUAAAGUCCUUGUAAAGGAUAUCCCAACAACAUGUCAAGUGUCCUGCCUGGAAGUUCUCCGCAUUCUCUCCAGAGACAAAAAGGUUUUAGUUCCUGUAACAACCAAGGAAAAUAUGCAGAUACUGCUGCGAUUAGCCAAGCUAAAUGAGUCGGAUGAUUCUUUGGAGAAGGUGUCAGAGUUCCCAGUUAUUGUGGAGUCAUUAAAAUGUCUGUGUAACAUAGUGUUCAACAGUCAGAUGGCACAGCAGCUCAGCCUGGAACUUAACCUUGCUGCAAAGCUCUGUAACCUCCUGAGAAAGUGCAAGGACCGAAAGUUUAUCAAUGACAUUAAGUGCUUUGACUUGCGCUUGCUCUUCCUCCUGUCACUUUUGCACACCGACAUCAGGUCACAAUUGCGCUACGAGCUCCAGGGACUACCGCUGCUAACCCAGAUCUUGGAAAGUGCCUUUAGCAUCAAGUGGACCGAUGAAUAUGAAUCGGCCAUAGACCAUAAUGGACCUCCUCUCUCACCUCAGGAGACAGACUGUGCCAUUGAGGCCCUCAAAGCUCUCUUCAAUGUGACGGUAGACAGUUGGAAGGUGCAUAAAGAGAGUGAUUCUCAUCAGUUCCGUGUCAUGGCAGCUGUCCUUCGCCAUUGUUUACUAAUCGUAGGUCCAACCGAAGACAAAACAGAAGAGCUGCACAGCAAUGCAGUCAACCUUUUAAGCAAUGUUCCAGUCUCUUGUUUGGAUGUUCUCAUUUGUCCAUUAACCCAUGAAGAAACAGCCCAAGAGGCAACGACACUAGAUGAACUGCCCAGUGAUAAAACAGCUGAGAAAGAAACUGUUUUGAAAAAGAAUACCAUGGUAUACAAUGGCAUGAAUAUGGAAGCCAUUCAUGUUUUACUCAAUUUUAUGGAGAAGAGAAUAGACAAGGGAAGCAGCUAUAGAGAAGGUCUAACUCCAGUUCUCAGCUUAUUAACAGAAUGUUCCCGAGCCCAUCGAAACAUCAGAAAAUUUCUCAAAGAUCAGGUUUUACCACCAUUGAGGGAUGUGACAAAUCGACCUGAAGUUGGCUCAACUGUGAGAAAUAAGCUGGUGCGCCUCAUGACACAUGUUGACCUUGGAGUCAAGCAAAUUGCUGCUGAAUUCCUUUUUGUCCUUUGCAAAGAGAGAGUGGACAGCCUGCUGAAAUACACUGGCUAUGGGAAUGCUGCAGGACUGUUGGCGGCCAGGGGCCUCUUGGCUGGAGGAAGAGGCGAUAACUGGUACUCAGAGGAUGAGGACACAGACACUGAAGAAUACAAAAAUGCAAAACCAAACAUUAAUCUUAUCACUGGUCAUUUAGAGGAACCAAUGCCAAACCCCAUAGAUGAAAUGACAGAAGAACAAAAAGAAUAUGAAGCCAUGAAACUUGUCAACAUGCUUGAUAAACUUUCCAGGAGAGCAGAUGUGAAGGACCUGCACCAGGAUGGUGGUUAGCGACAGUGGCCCGUGCCAAAGCACUUACCAAAGUGAUGACUAAGACCCUGUCAUUAAUUCCAUGUGUCAAUACUGCCCUGUAGUACACAGAGCAGACAAGAAAGAAGAGCCCUUGAAAACAAGGGAAUGAUUUUUGAGUCGUUAUCAAGCUAAGUGGCAAGCGGGAAGCUGAAACUCGUAUAGUUGAACAUUCUUGGAGGCUUAUCUCUUCCCUGGCCAGAUGCCUGAUCAGAUGAGAAGCCCGCCAUGAUACUGUCACAGUGCCUAGAAUGGGCUCUUUAUCCAGUAGACAUCACUGUACUUUUUGAUGAUAACGAGGGCAGUCUUAACUUGUGUUAAGGCCUGUGUAUAGCAUUGAAGAGAGGAGUUGCUUAAACCAAUGGGACUAAAACCUGAUGGGACAAUAACGCCUUUGGAGGAAGCACUCAACCAGUACUCUGUCAUCGAGGAGACCAGCUCUG